CAGCUAGUAGUUUAUAUAAAACUUUAAUUUUGGGGAUUAAUAAUGGGAUUUAUUCUCCUUGCUGA
rnacentral:tRNA from 1 species